CUAAACUGCAAGCUUCACUGCUCAUGCCCUGCUGGGGCUUUAGGUAUGCUGAAUGUAUAUGAGAGAAUUUAAGGAACGUCCUUGCCGACCAUAAGGAAAAAGGAAGUGUUCGGAAAUAAAGAAGUUAGCAGGAAGUAUGAAAUGUCAAGAGGAUGUUGAGAAAGAAGCACUCCAACGAAUCAGAGCCAGCAGAAAGGCGCGUGGACAAGGCAUGAAGUUUGCUAUCGGCCAAUGAAGAACACUGCUUUUGCGCAUGCAGCAUGACUAAGGAAAAAAUGUAUGCAUAAAGCUUAGCCGGAAAAUUGAAUAAACGGAGUUUGAUUCCACAUCAUAUUGGUGUGAUGUUUCUCUCCCUUCACUCUUCGGGCCGCAGCAUCUGGUGACCCCGACGUGAUACCGCCUCUGUGAGGACGAAAAGCGGACGAGAGACGAAGAGUGGAUGAUCCCGGCCGUCCGAGAGAGACGGGCAGCGCACGGCGCUGGGAGGCCUCAGCUGACCGAUGCAGAGCCACGGUGGGUUCCAGCCAAGUGGGUGAAGCCGAAACUGCAGAAAACCAAAGAACGGACGGAGGAAGGGGAGGCAGAACAUCAAGCAACGGAAAAUAACCAAGACUAAGCAGAAUGAACUUUGUAUUAUUAAUCAGCACUUUUAUCCUAGGGGUCCAGGGGAACCCAACACUUUUGCCAAAGCUCAGUAAUGAUCCUGGUAAUAUUUGGGUAACCAUCGCAAAUGUAACCAAACAACCAGCCUUUUGCCUAAGCUUAAGUAGUGUAAGAAGCCCCUUUCGCACCUGUUUGAUCGGAGUGCCGGUAUGGAAUAUAAACGAAUUUAAAGGAUACCUGAAAAUAGUAUAUGACAAUUAUACCCACGUCAAUCAGACAUGUGGGCAACAGGGUACUGGAGUAAAUACAAACCAAAAACUGUCUGAUGGCAGUGUACAAUGUUGCCUUAUAUCAGCCUUAAACGAAAGUUUAACAUCUCCCCCAGAAGAGCUAGACCUGUUUGGAAGUGUGAACGCUAGUAAUGCUACUAUUGGCGGUGGCUGGUUGUCCUUCCUCCCGGGCAACAGCAGUUUAAUAAAUACACCUAGUAGUAAGUGGGCCAAUUUGAAUUCAGUUUUAAACCCCUCAGAAAUAUUUGAAGAUUUAUAUAGUAGCUGUGAUGGGAGCAAUAUAACGACGCCUAAAGCCCUCCCACCAGGAAUCUUUCUGAUUUGUGGGGAUCGUGCCUGGAAUGGCAUUCCAGCUUCUCCUCAAGGUGGACCUUGUUAUUUAGGUAAAUUGUCACUUUUUCAUCCUAAUAUUUCCCUCCUCAUGCGUUGGGCAAAUAAAAUCGAGAAGACUAGACAAGAAAGAUCUGUGCAUGAGUUAAAGUGUGAAGAAGUUGGUGACCCUCAAUUUUGGUCUAAAACUAAAAAUUUUUUGUCAUCCCUUUUUAUCCCCGGGCUGGCAGCAGCGAAGUCACUAGCGCUUGCCAAACAAAUAGCAUGCUGGACGAGAAAUGAAUUAAAUAUAACUUCAGCUAUUCUGGAUAUGUUAUCGCAGGAUGUACAGAGUGUGAAUCACGCGGUACUACAGAAUCGAGCAGCUAUAGACUUCCUGUUAUUAGCCCAGGGACAUGGGUGUGAUGAGUUUGAAGGUAUGUGUUGUAUGAAUCUUUCUGAUCAUUCUGAAUCGAUUCACUCAAGAAUUGAACAGAUGCGAAAGGGUUUGCACGCAUUAACAGAAGACACAGGAAUAAAGGGGUGGCUGAGGGGCCUGGGAAUCGGAGGAUAGCUUCGCAGUCUGGUGAUGAUGUUUAUGGGACCCUGUGUUCUGAUCUUGAUUACUUUAUUGAUAGGACCUUGUAUCUUGCGCUGUAUUGUUAGCCGCUUGCAAGCCAUGAGCCAUGCUGUUUUUGAAAAAAGAGGGGGAGAUGCUGGGGCUUUAGGUAUGCUGAAUGUAUAUGAGAGAAUUUAAGGAUUGCUAACAAGGACGAAACGUCCUUGCCGACCAUAAGGAAAGAGGAAGUGUUCGGAAAUAAAGAAGUUAGCAGGAAGUAUGAAAUGUCAAGAGGAUGUUGAGAAAGAAGCACUCCAACGAAUCAGAGCCAGCAGAAAGGCGAGUGGACAAGGCAUGAAGUUUGCUAUCGGCCAAUGAAGAACACUGCUUUUGCGCAUGCAGCAUGACUAAGGAAAAAAUGUAUGCAUAAAGCUUAGCCGGAAAAUUGAAUAAACGGAGCUUGAUUCCACAUCA